ensembl:lncRNA
GUCCUGUCACGGCUGUUAAGCUACAGGGAUCCUCUGUUACACCAUUUCAUGCUGUCUCCCAAACUGGCCCCAGUGCUAAUCUCCCCAAACCCCAACUUUCAACUAUAUAUGCUAGGCAUCAAUCUCACAAAACUAGGACCCCAAGAAUAAAUGUUCCACUGCACCAGAGGUCCCAGACUCUGCAGUCCCGACCCGGACCCGGGACCAACUCCUCCUUCUUAUUCUCCACCCCCCAGACCCCCCUGCGUGGGGUCAUCUCCCGAACCCCUCUCUCUGCAUGCCCCUCCCCCCGUAGCCUCAGCACCUCCCCAUGUUGCUACUCCACUUCCCGGACCGACAGCCCCUCCCCUCAGCGCCCACGCCGGGGGGCUGCAGUUACAGAAGUCCGGAGGCAGCUCAUAUCCGUGCGGGCGCAGACUGCACUUCCGCUAAAACCCAGACCGCCUCAAACCGAUGAUUCCUCAGCCCCUGGGACGCCCAGGAGGCGAGGCAAACUUUACCCGUUGUCAUCUACAUCCACACCCACCAAGGGGAAGUCAGAUGCUUCUGAGAGCAAGACAACCACCAGAUAAUAUAGCCUAGCUUAGUGUAUCAGGGCUAUCUAUCCACCAGACCAUCCACACUGCACUUCACACACCCCUUUAUCUACUGUAUGUCAGAGUAACUCCACGACCUCAAACGUGUUUGUGCAAAAACACUGUUUCAACUCUCAGCUUAAGAUAACAAAGAGGGGUCUGCUUCUAAUCACAGUUAAGGCCAAGAACAAAACCAGUAAUAGAGAGCACCAGACAGCAGUGAGUCCCCCAAUGCCACAGACUAGGGAAGUGGGUGUGACCCCCAAUGCCACAGACUAGGGAAGUGGGUGAGACACCCAAAGCCACAGACUAGGGAAGUGGGUGAGACCCCCAAUGCCACAGACUAGGGAAGUGGGUGAGACACCCAAUGCCACAGACUAGGGAAGUGGGUGAGACACCCAAUGCCACAGACUAGGGAAGUGGGUGAGACUCCCAAUGCCACAGACUAGGGAAGUGGGUGUGACCCCCCAAUGCCACAUACUAGGGAAGUGGGUGAGACCCCCAAUGCCACAGACUAGGGAAGUGGGUGUGACCAUGGGUGUGACCCCCAAUGCCACAGACUAGGGAAGUGGGUGAGACACCCAAUGCCACAGACUAGGGAAGUGGGUGAGACUCCCAAUGCCACAGACUAGGGAAGUGGGUGAGACUCCCAAUGCCACAGACUAGGGAAGUGGGUGUGACCAUGGGUGUGAC